rnacentral:rRNA from 1 species
UGGAGGAAAGUAGGGGAUCGAAAGACCUUAUGCUUUUGGAGCGGCCGAUGUCUGAUUAGCUAGUUGGUAAGGUAAUGGCUUACCAAGGCAACGAUCAGUAGUUGGUCUGAGAGGACGACCAGCCACACUGGGACUGAGACACGGCCCAGACUCCUACGGGAGGCAGCAGUGGGGAAUUUUGGACAAUGGGCGCAAGCCUGAUCCAGCAAUGCCGCGUGAGUGAAGAAGGCCUUCGGGUUGUAAAGCUCUUUCAGUUGAGAAGAAAAGGCUGCAGUGAAUAACUGUAGUUUAUGACGGUAUCGACAGAAGAAGCACCGGCUAACUACGUGCCAGCAGCCGCGGUAAUACGUAGGGUGCGAGCGUUAAUCGGAAUUACUGGGCGUAAAGGGUGCGCAGGCGGUUCUGUAAGUCAGAUGUGAAAUCCCCGGGCUUAACCUGGGAACUGCGUUGAAACUACAAGGCUAGG